rnacentral:rRNA from 1 species
GUCCACGCCGUAACGAUGAAUACUAGGUGUCGGAAGCACAGCUUUCGGUGCCGCCGCAAACGCAUUAAGUAUUCCACCUGGGGAGUACGUUCGCAAGAAUGAAACUCAAAGGAAUUGACGGGACCCGCACAAGCGGUGGAGCAUGUGGUUUAAUUCGAAGCAACGCGAAGAACCUUACCAAGUCUUGACAUCCUUCUGACCGGACAGUAAUGUGUCUUUUCCUUCGGGACAGAAGUGACAGGUGGUGCAUGGUUGUCGU